rnacentral:rRNA from 2 species
GGAUCGCGGCGACGCCGGCGGUUCGCCGCCGGUGACGUUGUGAGAAGUUCAUUAAACCUUAUCAUUUAGAGGAAGGAGAAGUCGUAACAAGGUUUCCGUAGGUGAACCUGCGGAAGGAUCAUUG